CUCGGCCGCGGGGCGGUGCAAGGGGGGCUGGGGCAGCGCGGUGCUCGGCUGUCCCCUUUAGCCGCGGGGUGUCGGGCACCUGGCAGCUCUGCACCCCGCUGUAGCGCCCCUGGCUAAGCUCCCGUGCCGUGCGGGGCCUAGCGUGGUGCAGAGCAGCGAGCCCGCUGUGACAUAGUUCCGGCUCCACGGGGGAACGAGCCGGGACCUAGAUCCCGCUAGUGGCCCCGCUCCCCUGGGCAGCUCGCUGUGCUCUGCAGCGGCCCGGUUCCUCUCAGCUAUUUCCCCUGCCGGCAGCCUGCAGUGUCACUGAUGUCUGCUCUUGCACACCAGGCUUUGGGAAUGUACCUGUUGGACAAUCAGAAGGGCUACCUCAUUCCUAUGGAUCCCAAAUUGGAAUUCAACAUACAUAUUUUGUACUAAUACACUUUAUACACUGUUUAAAGGAAAACACCUGUGUACUAACAAUAUGUCAUAUGUUAACUUGAAACCAUGGGCAGAGACAUUAUGUAAUUUUUAGACUAUUGGCUACUGUGCUUAUCUUGUCUCGCUGCUAGACCUAUCCAGGUGCUCGGGACCUCCUACCCUGUCAUUUCCCUCCACCCAUAAAAAUUCCAUAUAAUUCAUUAUAGUUAAUUAUUUGGCAGGGUCUCUGAGCCUAAUAAGCAAAGCGCCACUCCGCCAGCCCAGUGCAUAAUAAACCCAUGUGCUUGAUUCUACCUGGUGUCCAUUUUGUUCCUUGAUAUUGUUUCUGUUUCUCCCCGUUUGGCUAAUUAUUAUAUGUGACUUAAUUUACAAAGUUAUUAAUCAUUUCAUAUCAGUGCCCCUUUCCACUAUUGAGUUUACAGAAUGGGAAGCCAAAAAUGGAAGCUAUUAUAGCAAAUAGUUAAUUUAAUCCAUUUUUGUAUGUCCAAUACUCUGAACACCUUAUGCUGAAGACUUUGUACUCUUGAUAAGGUGCACUUCGAUGGUUUCAGUGCCUCCCACAUGGAUAUAUCACGGACAGCGGUAAAGUGACUGCUGUUAUAUUUCAAAAUUUAAGGGGGGAAAGCCCACAUCAUUAAAUUAGUAAUAUUUAUACUAUAAAGAUAGUAAUAUUCAUUUGCUGUUGAUAAGUAGCCAGUUUUUCCAUUCCUCUUUGUAGUACAGUAGAUUGAGCAGAAAAUUUUCCUGACAAAUUUAAAUCCUCUUAAAGAUGAGCAUUGCUUUUCUAAGUGGCCACUGAUGACUAACUAAUUUCCACUAAAAGUGGUUUUGGAAAGCUAGAGCCUUCUUCUAUCAUUCUUCUGGGAUUGGGGAAUAUUUGCCUGAACUGCAAGAAACUAAUUGUUGGAAAUUCCCUAAUGCAUUCUUAACCUCUUUAAUUGUUAUUGUGCAGCUGGAAAAUAGGCAGAGAGGCAGUUCCAUGCAUUCAGUAUCAUCUCUGUUGCAAUUACUCCUUAUAUUAAAGCCGGUAACAGGCCACAGCGGGGCUGUCUAGACUAGAGUUUAACCCAUGUUAACUGAUUCCAAAUUAACCUGAGUUAGUUAGUUAGUAAUUGUAAAUGCUAGUCCAAACACUCCACAAAUAUUUGUUGGUGUGUUACUUCAGGUUGAAUGAAAUGUUUGUUGGUUGCCAUGACAUCAACAUGUAUGCAGGUGUAUAACAAACAUUUGUUCCAGGAUACUAAGACUGUUGGCUUACCCUAGGCUGAGUCCUAGGCCACGUCUACAAUAGAAGUGCUUUGCUGGUAUAGCUAUACCACUGUACUAUACUAGCAAAGCAUGCCUAGUGCAGAUGCAGCUAAUACUGGCAAAACUGCUUUUGCCAGCAUACUUAUUUCAGCCCCCUCCACGCUACUCUUUCACCCUUACCACCUUCUCUCCCCUCCUCCCACCCCCAGGAGAAACACACGAUACCAGCAAAAGCACAGCUUUGCCAGUAUAACUGCAUCUCCAGUAGGGGCUUUUCAUGUACAGCUGUGCUGAUCAGUGAUUACACCUAUUCACAAUGUUGACAUAGCAUUGUGGCCUGGACCACAUGUUUGUGGAGCAUCUAGAGUAGACUUUACACAUGUGGUACUACUACUUAUCAAGUUAAUUGGCAAUCAAUUAACUCAAACUAAAGCAGGCCCCCAAACUCUAGUCUAGACAUACCCAUCAGGGAGUCCUGGAUUGGAGUUAUGUUGGACACAGGAAAAAUGGCACUUCUUGUCAGGAAGUGUUAGGUACUGUGAUGUUCCCAGUUCUUAAUAGGCAGGGCCGGCUCUAGGUUUUUGCCAAUGCCAAAGCAAAAAAAAAAAAAAACCUCUCCGAGUGCCGCCCCUGGAAUUGUGCCACCCCUAGUACGUGCUUGGUUUGCUGGUGCCUAGAGCCCGUUAAUAGGUGUGUAAAGCAGCACCUUAACUGUGCAUUUCCUGGUUUUCCUAAGUUUGUGAUUUGUUUUUUCUUAUAAUGCUAACAUUCAUUUCAGGAAUAUGUGAGGAGACCUUAACUGAGUCCUUGUCAAUGAAGAUUUUGGUAAGUAAAUGUCCUCUUUUUUCUAUAAAGAUUUGAAUGAGUAAGGUUGUUGAGGCUUCUGAUAGCUCUCACAAAAAGAUGGGUAUAUUCUCUUGUAGCUAGGGUAUCCUGGCUCAGUGAAAGAAAUGUGGACUAGUGUGAUUAGAACAAUAGCUACAGAUAGCAUAGCCAAAAUCAUAGUGUGACAAUAUAUCCCAUAAUGCUUUAUGGGAAUAUGAUGUAACUGGAAUAUGUUUUAUGCUACCUGUGCCAUGUAACAUAUCUCUGUAAAGGUUAUGGUCUAAUGAAUCUGUUCAUCCUGUUUGUACACAUAUCAUUUUUGUACUUGAAGUUAUGAACAUUGGCUGUAUACUUGCUUGAUUUCUAAGUAAGCUUUGUAAGGCAUUUGGUCAGCUUCUU